UAUCUGAUAUAGCUAGCUAGUUGUUCUGGUGUAAUGUCUAUGAAAUAUUACAGCCACAACAUCAUGACCAUGCAUCUGCAGACCAGCAAGGAGGAGAAAUGCCUGCUUUGAUCUGCCAAACAAACACAACUCUGCUUCUGUUGGUUCCGACUGCAGCUGUGGACCCCUGCUACUUUGUCCCGGACCCAUGCUAAUCAAGCUCACCCAGGUAGUCACCGUGCUUCUACAUUGCUUGCUCUUUGGGGUUUUAGGCUGAGUAUCUGUAAAGCACUUUGUG
rnacentral:lncRNA from 1 species